GAUUAACGCUGGCGGCGUGCAUAACACAUUCAAGUCGAACGGUGACGGGGCUUCGGCCCCUGAUCAGUGGCGGACGGGUGAGAACGCGUGAGCAACCUGCCCUUGUGUGGGGGAUAACGUUUGGAAACGGACGCUAAUACCGCAUAACCCAAUAGUACGGCAUCGUACAGUUGGCAAAGAUUUAUUGCACAAGGAUGGGCUCGCGUCUGAUUAGGUAGUUGGUGGGGUAACGGCCUACCAAGCCCGCGAUCAGUAGCCGGACUGAGAGGUUGAACGGCCACAUUGGAACUGAGAUACGGUCCAGACUCCUACGGGAGGCAGCAGUGGGGAAUAUUGGGCAAUGGGGGAAACCCUGACCCAGCGACGCCGCGUGAGGGAAGAAGGUCUUCGGAUUGUAAACCUUAAACAACAGGGACGAAACAAAUGACGGUACCUGUUAGGAAGCCACGGCUAACUACGUGCCAGCCGCCGCAGUAAGAC
rnacentral:rRNA from 1 species